rnacentral:rRNA from 1 species
AUGCACGCUGGCGGCGCGCCUAAUCCAUGCAAGUCGCGCGCACGGACGAGAAGCUUGCUUCUCUGAUGUUAGCGGCGGACGGGUGAGUAACACGUGGAUAACCUACCUAUAAGACUGGGAUAACUUCGGGAAACCGGAGCUAAUACCGGAUGAUAUUUUGAACCGCAUGGUUCAAAAGUGAAAGACGGUCUUGCUGUCACUUAUAGAUGGAUCCGCGCUGCAUUAGCUAGUUGGUAAGGUAACGGCUUACCAAGGCAACGAUGCAUAGCCGACCUGAGAGGGUGAUCGGCCACACUGGAACUGAGACACGGUCCAGACUCCUACGGGAGGCAGCAGUAGGGAAUCUUCCGCAAUGGGCGAAAGCCUGACGGAGCAACGCCGCGUGAGUGAUGAAGGUCUUCGGAUCGUAAAACUCCGUUAUUAGGGAAGAACAUAUGUGUAAGUAACUGUGCACAUCUUGACGGUACCUAAUCAGAAAGCCACGGCUAACUACGUG